rnacentral:misc_RNA from 1 species
GAUGAAGAACGUAGCGAAAUGCGAUAAGUAAUGUGAAUUGCAGAAUUCCGUGAAUCAUCGAAUCUUUGAACGCAUAUUGCGCCCUCUGGUAUCCCGAGGGGCAUGCCUGUUCGAGCGUCAUUUCACCACUCAAGCCUGGCUUGGUGUUGGGCGACGUCCUCUUUGGGGACGCGCCUCGAAACGCUCGGCGGCGUGGCACCGGCUUUAAGCGUAGCAGAAUCUUUCGCUUUGGAAGUCGGGGCCCCGUCUGCCGGAAGACCUGCUCGCAAGGUUGACCUCGGAUCAGGCAGGGAUACCCGCUGAACUUAAGCAUAUCAAUAAGCGGAGGA